CCUGUCUGACCCUUGUCUUUUGCGUACUAUUUGUUUCCUCGGUGGGCUUGCCUGCCGAUAGGACAACCAUUAAACCUUUUGUAAUUGCAAUCAGCGUCAGAAAAAACAUAAUAGUUACAACUUUCAACAACGGAUCUCUUGGUUCUGGCAUCGAUGAAGAACGCAGCGAAAUGCGAAAAGUAGUGUGAAUUGCAGAAUUCAGUGAAUCAUCGAAUCUUUGAACGCACAUUGCGCCCCUUGGUAUUCCAUGGGGCAUGCCUGUUCGAGCGUCAUUUGUACCUUCAAGCCCUGCUUGGUGUUGGGUGUUUGUCCCGCUUUGUGCGUGGACUCGCCUCAAAGCAAUUGGCAGCCGGCGUACUAGCCUGGGAGCGCAGCACAUUUUGCGCAUCUUGUCUUGAACGCUUGCGUCCAUGAAGCCUACAUUUUAACUCUUGACCUCGGAUCAGGUAGGGAUACCCGCUGAACUUAAGCAUAUCAAA
rnacentral:rRNA from 1 species